UUAUUGUCAUUGUUUGUAAAAUUAGAAAAACCUAGUUAGUUUUGUAUUAUUUUGAAAAAACCCAAAAAGUAGCGCCAUUUUUAUUCUCUCUCAAUUCAAAAUUAACACCUCAAAUAGACCCACCAACACCGUAAACAAAAAGUGCAAAAAACUCAAACACAGGAAAGGGAUCCUUUUUUUUGUGGGAACCACCUUACCUUUUGGUUUUUGUUUUUUUACACCAUAAACCACCUUAAAACUCCACCUACAAAACCACACAUAACGACUCUUGAAUAGAUAGAAAAAAGGAGCACCAUAACAAUCACUAACAGAGGGCGACACCAACCAUACACACAAAAUAAAAACCUUUCAAAACCCAGUUUUUCAUGGCCAUGUAAAAAUGUUACAUCUCUUAUAUUUUCAUGAUAUCAUCUCUCUCUCACACACACAUUAACAAUACACCAUAAAAACCCAUGAAACACCUCUCUUCCAAGCAAAGAAAACAGUAGAUACAAACUCCCUUCAACACCUCCACACGAAAGAAAUCUGACGCGACCACUACCGUUCUACUUCAUCACUCACGACGACAACAAACUUCGACGAGAUAUCAACUACUCAAAAAAUAAAGGAUACUCAAGAGUAGUAUUGCUGAAGUAAGUGGAAGGUAGCUCAUUCGAAAUUUAGCCGGAGAGCUUCCGUAUUCUAGUUUGGAGACUAGGUAGUGAGUCAAUGCUCUGGUCAUGUAACACGGGGUAGAUUAGUAGUAUUGAACUCAUAUCUUAUUUGGAUACGUAUUAUGUUAUUACUUGUGAACAUGUUUGAUUGCAAUUGCUGUUUGAGAUGCCAUAGUGCCAAAUAUUCUGGAUAUGGUUUUAGUUUAUCUUGAAGAGAUUAUUGAGAGAUGAUCAUGGUAUGGGACAUGAAUAAUUUUAUG